CAUAUUUAAAUUAUAUCAGUGCUAUUUAUUUUUCUUUAAACUUUAUUAGUUAAUAUAUUAUAACAACAGUUUAACAUUAAUGCUCAAAACAAUAAAAAUUGUACUGACAAAUCUCUCGUGAUAGGAACCACAGAACUAUAAAAGAUAUAUUUGAAAUCGUGGACAAAAGUUAUUAACUUUAUCAUAGAACACAGUUGUCAACUAAAACGACAUUAAGAAAUUAACGAGCAAUGAACAAAACCCAUAUUGAUCAGUGCAGUUAUGUGACAAGGGUCUGAUAAAGUGACAUUUCAAAAUGACGUGUAACGUCCGGUAUGGGAUACUUUCGUCGAUAUGAGCGCUUGAGUCGACGAGGGGUGGCAUGACGAAAGAUCGACGAGCGCACGAGCGCGACAAGAAAAUGUCGAUUCAAGAACGCAAUCUGUCCGAUAACCUGGUUUCCACCGAAUAUUUUAGUGUUUUAGUGGUCGAUGACGGCUUGCCGCCGAUCAUUACCGAUCUUCCCCGCUUUUCCACCGUCACUUCCGAAAUUGCCAACGUCACCACGCCAGUCAUUUCACAAUCGUCGGUUCAAGACAGUCUCCUGGAGAAUCUCAUUAUACCGCUAUACGGUACAAUCUUCUUCCUUUCUAUCGUCGGGAAUUCUUUAGUGCUCAUCACCCUGGCGAGGAACAAACGGAUGCGGACAGUGACAAAUGUCUAUCUGCUAAACUUGGCUGUAUCGGAUCUUCUCCUUGGUGUAUUCUGUAUGCCUUUUACUCUCCUGGGUCAGAUACUCAAAAAUUUUGUUUUCGGUCUUACAAUGUGCAAGCUGAUACCGUAUUUUCAAGCCGUGUCAGUAUCGGUGGGUGUCUGGACGUUGGUGGCUAUUUCGCUAGAACGCUACUUUGCUAUUUGCCGACCGUUGAAAUCAAGAAGAUGGCAGACACAAUUUCACGCUUACAAAAUGAUUGCUAUCGUAUGGACUCUCAGCCUCACGUGGAACGCGCCGAUUCUCGUCGUGUCUCGAUUAAAGAGCUUACGUGGAGGAAGACGUAAAUGUCGCGAAGACUGGCCGAAUGUCGGUACCGAGAGAGCGUACAAUCUUUUUUUGGAUGGCACGCUGCUUCUGAUACCGCUAUUGCUCAUGAGCCUGGCCUAUUCGCUGAUAGCGAUAAAACUUUGGCGUGGCCUGAAGCUCGAGAUACGACAGUCAUCGACAUGUACUAGAAGACUCGAGAGAACGGCAACGGCGUCUAGCGCGAUAGUUCGAGGCUCAACUUACAACAAUAACAAUGACAGAGAUGCAAGAUCGACGGUGGUGUUUCGCGCUUGCGGUCCAACUUCGAGGUCGCGUCGAGGCUUUUCGUCUUCCUCGAGGCAUUUUCAAGGCACUCCCCAAGGUGCAUCAUCUAGGGUGCGGUUAUCACGGACGGCGGUCUCCAGGGUGCUUACCGACAAGUGUCACGGUACAGAUUUGUCCCAGGGAUCCAGGAUUCAGAUACGAGCGAACGGAAGCGGCUGCUUAACGCGGGACACGAAGGAUGUCACUAACGAGGAUCAGCAGGACUCGACCUGUCCUCUCAGCAGGCAACACGUGAUACGCAGUAAUUACAUGGGGAAGAGCAUCGAGGCGAAGAAGAAGGUGAUCAGAAUGCUCUUCGUGAUAGUCCUGGAAUUCUUCGUGUGCUGGGCGCCGCUGCACGUGAUCAAUACGUGGUAUCUCUUCGCUCCUGAUCUAGUCUACUCGGUCGUCGGUAGCACCGGUAUCAGCCUGGUGCAGCUAUUGGCCUACGUAUCCAGCUGCUGCAAUCCCAUCACGUACUGUUUCAUGAACAGAAAAUUUCGCCAAGCGUUCCUCGGCCUCUUCGACUGCCACCGUUGCUGGAGGUUGCCGACACAGCGACAUCGCUAUGGCGACCACGGGAAAUGCCGGACAAGCUGGCAAUAACAGCGAAUUAAGCGGAAAUGACUCGACGGUGUACCUAGGCAGAGCGUCCCUCGUCGCUAGAUCAGAGGUAGUUCGGUUGCUGGAGGAGGAAGAUCGCGUCUAGUAUAGGUCGUGCGGAUUAUGUGACGGGGUGACGGAAUCGAAUGUAUCUCUACCCCAAUCCCGCGAGCAGGAGGAUUUUUUUCUGAAAAUAUCCUGGCGACCACCCAUCGACAGGAUCGCUUGUCAUGGAAGCGGUAAGGAACUCGCAUGUGCCGGCGCGUCUCAUUGCUCAUCGAGAUCUUCUUGCGUGGACAAUCUCAACUUCCUUUACGAUUAACCGAAACGAAAUAUAUUGAUGUUAUUCUGCGUGAAGUGCGUAUUUUUUGGCCUAACAAAAAUCUCUUUUUAUACUUUUAGUUAAUUUAUAGAGAUUAUAAAACGUAUAGAGAGAGAAAAAAAGCUCCUAGUAUUUUGCCGGAUUCCCGUUGAAUGUCUUAUUUUUCUAUUCUAAAUCAAAUAGAUUGCAUUCAUAUGCAGCUGAAAAUAUAAUAUCACGUUAGUAUUUUUUGUACAGAUUAGUCAAAUGGAUUAGAUGGAUGAAAGUUUUACAAUGUAAUUGCAAAUACGUAAAAUAAUUAAUUUGUUAUAAGCAUGUUAUAUCUUAAUAAAUUAACAACUUGUAAAAUUGAGAUCAAUACUCAUCGAUAAAUCAUGUAUUAAGUGUAUAAUCGUCGAUUGAUACAUUUCUAAUAAUGAUAAAAUACUUUAAAAUAAUGGUUAAGAAUAUUUAAAAAAUUGUAAUUUUGCAUCAAUUCUCUUAUCCUUUAGGUAUGAUAAUAAUAGCGGCACGCGCUAUAAAUUUUUGUGAUGUCGCAAAAAUUACAUUUCCGGAGAAUUAAUAAUUUGAUUUGGCGAAAUAAUUUUAUAUGUUUGCAUAAAAAAGUGAAAAAUGCUUUGGCCACUUUCGCACAGGCAAGCUUAACGCGGUAGAGCCAUAAAGUAUAUUUAUUCAAUAAACGGAGUUUUAUGCGGAAAACAAACACAGUUAUGUCAUUCCAGCUUAAUGUCUGCUUAUUUACAUUACUUAUGCUAAUUUCGAGAAACAGUUUUAUAUUUAUUGUUUGCACGCAUAUAUUUAAUCAGAUAUUUUUUAAUAAUUGCAGCUUCAAAAUAUUUAAGUCAAUUUACAUUAAUUUCUUGCGAUGAUCGCAGAUCCAAAGAUACAUCCAUAAUAUUUAAAAAAAACUUUUUGGUAAAAUAUGUUAUUUAAUAUACAAAAGAGAAAAAGCGAAAGAGAGAAUUUAUAUAUAUAUAUAUACCACAUGUUCAUAUAUCUUUCAUAAUACAUAUCUUUGAUACACCUGUUGCAUACGUUUCAUGGACCUGUCAGAGAAUAACCCUUAAAUGAUAACGCGAGAUAUAUACACUACAUGUGCAGUUGCUCAAAACCAUACUUGCUGAGUUUUCAGAGCUUUAUAUUUAUAUAACAAUACUUUAAUCCUUAAAUAUAUUAUUAUUCAUGACAAAGUAUUAUUGUUCAUGUAACAUAAAUACUUUCAGAUUAAACCCAUCAUAUAACGCUGCAUAAAAAUUGUAACAUUCUAAGAAAUUUAUUUUUGAAUCCAUUUAUUACACACACAUUUAAGAAAAUAUUAUCAAUAAAAUGCUUUAUUUUAAUAUAGUUGUUUUUUGUAGAGAUAUAUCAGAUUUCUUUUAAAUAUAUUAAAUAUAUAUAAAAUAAUAAAUCUAUCGGCAUACAUUUUUAAAUGCUGCUUUUA